UGAGGUUGUAGCUCAGUGGUAGGGCGCUUGCCUCGCAUGUGUGAGGCACUGGAUUCGAUCCACAGCACCUUAU
rnacentral:tRNA from 1 species